AGUGAACGCUGGCGGUAGGCCUAACACAUGCAAGUCGAACGGCAGCACAGUAAGAGCUUGCUCUUACGGGUGGCGAGUGGCGGACGGGUGAGGAAUACAUCGGAAUCUACUUUUUCGUGGGGGAUAACGUAGGGAAACUUACGCUAAUACCGCAUACGGCCUACGGGUGAAAGCAGGGGAUCUUCGGACCUUGCGCGAUUGAAUGAGCCGAUGUCGGAUUAGCUAGUUGGCGGGGUAAAGGCCCACCAAGGCGACGAUCCGUAGCUGGUCUGAGAGGAUGAUCAGCCACACUGGAACUGAGACACGGUCCAGACUCCUACGGGAGGCAGCAGUGGGGAAUAUUGGACAAUGGGCGCAAGCCUGAUCCAGCCAUACCGCGUGGGUGAAGAAGGCCUUCGGGUUGUAAAGCCCUUUUGUUGGGAAAGAAAAGCAGCAGGUUAAGACCCCGCUGUUCUGACGGUACCCAAAGAAUAAGCACCGGCUAACUUCGU
rnacentral:rRNA from 1 species